rnacentral:rRNA from 1 species
AUUGAACGCUGGCGGCAUGCCUUACACAUGCAAGUCGAACGGCAGCGCGGGGGUAACCCUGGCGGCGAGUGGCGAACGGGUGAGUAAUAUAUCGGAACGUACCCAAGAGUGGGGGAUAACGUAGCGAAAGUUACGCUAAUACCGCAUACGAUCUAAGGAUGAAAGCAGGGGACCGCAAGGCCUUGUGCUCCUGGAGCGGCCGAUAUCUGAUUAGCUAGUUGGUGGGGUAAAGGCCUACCAAGGCAUCGAUCAGUAGCUGGUCUGAGAGGACGACCAGCCACACUGGGACUGAGACACGGCCCAGACUCCUACGGGAGGCAGCAGUGGGGAAUUUUGGACAAUGGGGGGCAACCCUCGAUCCAGCAAUGCCGCGUGAGUGAAGAAGGCCUU